UUACCACGGAGAGUUUGAUCCUGGCUCAGAACGAACGCUGGCGGCGUGGAUUAGGCAUGCAAGUCGAACGCGAAAGAGGGGGCAACUCCUCGAGUAGAGUGGCGAACGGGUGAGUAACGCGUGAAGAACCUGCCUUCAACAGGGGGAUAACACUCCCAACGGGGUGCUAAUACCGCAUGAGACCACGGAUUCGCAUGGAUCCGAGGUCAAAGGUGGCCUCUGCUUGCAAGCUACCGGUUGAAGAUGGCUUCGCGUCCCAUUAGCUAGUUGGCGGUGUAACGGACCACCAAGGCGACGAUGGGUAGCUGGUCUGAGAGGAUGGUCAGCCACACUGGGACUGAGAUACGGCCCAGACUCCUACGGGAGGCAGCAGUCGAGAGGCUUUGGCAAUGGGGGAAACCCUGACCAAGCGACGCCGCGUGGAGGAUGAAGGCCCUUGGGUUGUAAACUCCUUUUGUCGGGGAAGAAAUGCGAUCAGGUAAAUAAUCUGGUCGUUUGACGGUACCCGGCGAAUAAGCUCCGGCUAACUCCGUGCCAGCAGCCGCGGUAACACGGGGGGAGCAAGCGUUGUUCGGAAUCACUGGGCGUAAAGGGCGUGUAGGCGGUUCAGUAAGUGGAAUGUGAAAUGCCCCGGCUUACCCGGGGACCGGCAUCCCAAACUGCUGGACUUGAGUAUGGGAGAGGAUGAGGGAAUUCCUGGUGUAGCGGUGAAAUGCGUAGAUAUCAGGAGGAACACCGGUGGCGAAGGCGCUCAUCUGGCCCAAUACUGACGCUGAGGCGCGAAAGCUAGGGGAGCGAACGGGAUUAGAUACCCCGGUAGUCCUAGCCGUAAACGGUGAUCACUAGGUGUUGGAGGCAUCGACCCUUCCAGUGCCGCAGCUAACGCAUUAAGUGAUCCGCCUGGGGAGUACGGCCGCAAGGUUGAAACUCAAAGGAAUUGACGGGGGCCCGCACAAGCGGUGGAGCAUGUGGUUUAAUUCGACGCAACG
rnacentral:rRNA from 1 species